ACUCAUCCAACACCAACUCGAAGAAUUGCUGAUACAUUAAGCUACCAGAAUGCCACCAAAGUUCGAUCCUACCGCUGUUACUAUUGGUAAGGCAUAAGUAAUAAUUAAUACCUCACAGAUCGACCAAGAAAUGAGCGACAUGGUGAUGCGACCAGCAUGUAUAUGUGAAGGCUGUCGGAGGGGAAGUGCCGGCAACUUCCACACUUGCCCCCAAGAUUGGUCCACUUGGUCUGUCCCCUAAGAAGAUUGGUGAUGACAUCCAGAAGAACACUGGAGACUGGAAGGGGUUGAAGAUCACG